UACGGAGGGGGCAAGCGUUGUUCGGAAUUACUGGGCGUAAAGGGCGCGCAGGCGGCUGCUCAAGUCAGGCGUGAAAGGCCUGGGCUCAACCCGGGAAUUGCGCUUGAGACUGGGCUGGCUUGAGUGCGGGAGAGGAUGGUGGAAUUCCCAGUGUAGAGGUGAAAUUCGUAGAUAUUGGGAAGAACACCGGUGGCGAAGGCGGCUCUCUGGACCGAGACUGACGCUGAGGCGCGAAAGCCAGGGGAGCGAACGGG
rnacentral:rRNA from 1 species